rnacentral:rRNA from 1 species
GGGCGGGACACGUGAAAUCCUGUCUGAACAUGGGGGGACCACCCUCCAAGCCUAAGUACUCCUCAGCGACCGAUAGCGAACCAGUACCGUGAGGGAAAGGUGAAAAGCACCCCGACGAGGGGAGUGAAAGAGUACCUGAAACCGGAUGCUUACAAACAGUGGGAGCCCAAGGUUCGUCCUGGGUGACCGCGUACCUUUUGUAUAAUGGGUCAGCGACUUAAAGUUACGAGCGA